rnacentral:sRNA from 2 species
CCAUACCUACCAACAAAUCUGCCUGCUCAAUAUCCAAUCGAUCACUAUGAGAAUAAACGUCACAAUCUAGCUACCUGCCUAUCUAUCAAUGCUAGCUUACUGGCUGACUACCGGCCUGCCUACCUGCCUACCUAUCUGCUGACCUGGUUGAAUGAAUGAUAUCCACUGAUGAUAUCUAGCAAUGACAUCUGUUAAUUAUAUCUAUCGAUGAUAUAUCAGCUAUGAUAUCUAUCUAGUGAUGAUAUCUGUGAUGAUAUCGUUUAAUGGCAGCAUAAUGAAUAAUAUGACUUUGCACUUUCGCUCCGUCUUGCCCCAGCGCAAGUUCCAUGAAGCUCCUGUUAUAGUGUUGUGCCUGAGCUUUCCGACCCUUUAGAGGAAUUAAAGAUACCUUCAUCCCCUGGGAUUUAGAG